rnacentral:rRNA from 1 species
GAUGAACGCUGGCGGCGUGCUUAACACAUGCAAGUCGAACGGUAAGGCCCUUCGGGGUACACGAGUGGCGAACGGGUGAGUAACACGUGGGUGAUCUGCCCUGCACUUCGGGAUAAGCCUGGGAAACUGGGUCUAAUACCGGAUAGGACUCCGGACUGCAUGGUCUGGGGUGGAAAGCUUUUGCGGUGUGGGAUGGGCCCGCGGCCUAUCAGCUUGUUGGUGGGGUGAUGGCCUACCAAGGCGACGACGGGUAGCCGGCCUGAGAGGGUGACCGGCCACACUGGGACGGAGAUACGGCCCGGCCUCCUACGGGAGGGAGCAGUGGGGAAUAUUGCACAGUGGGCGCAGGCCUGAUGCAGCGACGCCGCGUGAGGGAUGACGGCCUUCGGGUUGUAAACCUCUUUCAGCACAGACGAAGCGCAAGUGGCGGUAUGUGCAGAAGAAGGACCGGCCAACUACGUGCCAGCCGCCGCCGUAA